GACGAACGCUGGCGGCGUGCCUAAUACAUGCAAGUCGAACGCUGAAGGAGGAGCUUGCUCUUCUGGAUGAGUUGCGAACGGGUGAGUAACGCGUAGGUAACCUGCCUGGUAGCGGGGGAUAACUAUUGGAAACGAUAGCUAAUACCGCAUAAGAGUAGAUGUUGCAUGACAUUUACUUAAAAGGUGCAAUUGCAUCACUACCAGAUGGACCUGCGUUGUAUUAGCUAGUUGGUGGGGUAACGGCUUACCAAGGCGACGAUACAUAGCCGACCUGAGAGGGUGAUCGGCCACACUGGGACUGAGACACGGCCCAGACUCCUACGGGAGGCAGCAGUAGGGAAUCUUCGGCAAUGGACGGAAGUCUGACCGAGCAACGCCGCGUGAGUGAAGAAGGUUUUCGGAUCGUAAAGCUCUGUUGUAAGAGAAGAACGAGUGUGAGAGUGGAAAGUUCACACUGUGACGGUAUCUUACCAGAAAGGGACGGCUAACUACGUG
rnacentral:rRNA from 1 species